AUACGGAGGGUGCAAGCGUUACUCGGAAUCAUUGGGUUUAAAGGGUCCGUAGGCGGGAAUCUAAGUCAGUGGUGAAAUCUUGCAGCUCAACUGUAAAAUUGCCAUUGAUACUGGAUUUCUUGAAUUAGUGUGAAGUGGUUAGAAUGUGUAGUGUAGCGGUGAAAUGCAUAGAUAUUACACAGAAUACCAAUUGCGAAGGCAGAUCACUAACACUAUAUUGACGCUAAGGGACGAAAGCGUGGGGAGCGAACAGGAUUAGAUACCCUAGUAGUCC
rnacentral:rRNA from 1 species